UAGGGAAUCUUCCACAAUGGACGAAAGUCUGAUGGAGCAACGCCGCGUGAGUGAUGAAGGGUUUCGGCUCGUAAAACUCUGUUGUUGGAGAAGAACGGGUGUCAGAGUAACUGUUGACAUCGUGACGGUAUCCAACCAGAAAGCCACGGCUAACUACGUGCCAGCAGCCGCGGUAAUACGUAGGUGGCAAGCGUUGUCCGGAUUUAUUGGGCGUAAAGCGAGCGCAGGCGGUUUUUUAGGUCUGAUGUGAAAGCCUUCGGCUUAACCGGAGAAGUGCAUCGGAAACCGGGAGACUUGAGUGCAGAAGAGGACAGUGGAACUCCAUGUGUAGCGGUGAAAUGCGUAGAUAUAUGGAAGAACACCAGUGGCGAAGGCGGCUGUCUGGUCUGCAACUGACGCUGAGGCUCGAAAGCAUGGGUAGCGAACAGGAUUAGAUACCCUGGUAGUCCAUGCCGUAAACGAUGAGUGCUAAGUGUUGGAGGGUUUUCCGCC
rnacentral:rRNA from 1 species